rnacentral:tRNA from 1 species
AGAAUAUUUUAUGAUACAAAGGAAACUUCUAAUUUCCCAUGAAGCGGUUAAAUUCCGUUUAUAUUCUA